GCUGGGUGUGGUGGGCCUGCCUGUAAUCCCAGCAGCUUGGGAGGCUGAGGUAGGAGGAUUAUAAGUUCAAAGCCAGCCUCAGCAGCUUAGUGAGGCUGUAAAGCAACUCAGCAAGACCCUGUCUCUA
rnacentral:sRNA from 1 species